UGGGGAAUAUUGCACAAUGGAGGGAACUCUGAUGCAGCGACGCCGCGUGAGUGAUGAAGGAAUUCGUUUCGUAAAACUCUGUUCUAUGGGAAGAAAAGGACUGUACCAUAGGAGAAAGCUCCGGCUAAAUACGUGCCAGCAGCCGCGGUAAUACGUAUGGAGCGAGCGUUGUCCGGAAUUAUUGGGCGUAAAGGGUGCGCAGGCGGCUUUACAAGUUGGAUGUGAAAUAUUGUGGCUCAACCACAAACGUGCAUCCAAAACUGCAAAGCUUGAGUUAAGGAGAGGUAAGUGGAAUUCCUGGUGUAGCGGUCGAAUGCGUAGAUAUCAGGAGGAAUACCGGUGGCGAAGGCGACUUACUGGACUUAAACUGACGCUCAGGCACGAAAGCGUGGGGAGCAAACAGG
rnacentral:rRNA from 1 species